GCGCCUGUAGCUCAGUAGGAUAGAGCAUUCGCCUUCUAAGCGGAUCGUCACAGGUUCGAAUCCUGUCAGGCGCACCA
rnacentral:tRNA from 1 species